rnacentral:rRNA from 1 species
GACGAACGCUGGCGGCGUGCCUAAUACAUGCAAGUCGAGCGGACGGAUGGGAGCUUGCUCCCAGACCGUCAGCGGCGGACGGGUGAGUAACACGUGGGCAACCUGCCUGUAAGACUGGGAUAACUCCGGGAAACCGGGGCUAAUACCGGAUAACUCUUUCCCUCACAUGAGGGAAAGCUGAAAGAUGGCAUCUCGCUAUCACUUACAGAUGGGCCCGCGGCGCAUUAGCUAGUUGGUGAGGCAACGGCUCACCAAGGCGACGAUGCGUAGCCGACCUGAGAGGGUGAUCGGCCACACUGGGACUGAGACACGGACCAGACUCCUACGGGAGGCAGCAGUAGGGAAUCUUCCGCAAUGGACGAAAGUCUGACGGAGCAACGCCGCGUGAGUGAUGAAGGUGUUCGGAUCGUAAAACUCUGUUGUCAGGGAAGAACAAGUACCGGAGUAACUGCCGGUAGCUUGACGGUACCUGACCAGAAAGCCACGGCUAACUACGUG